rnacentral:rRNA from 1 species
GUAGGUGGCAAGCGUUGUCCGGAAUUAUUGGGCGUAAAGCGCGCGCAGGCGGUCCUUUAAGUCUGAUGUGAAAGCCCACCGGCUCAACCGGUGGAGGGUCAUUGGAAACGUGGGGGACUUGAGUACAGAAGAGGAAAGCGGAAUUCCAAGUGUAGCGGUGAAAUGCGUAGAGAUUUGGAGGAACACCAGUGGCGAAGGCGGCUUUCUGGUCUGUAACUGACGCUGAGGCGCGAAAGCGUGGGGAGCAAACAGGGAUUAGAUACCCUGGUAGUCCACGCCGUAAACGAUGAGUGCUAAGUGUUAGGGGGGUUUCCCGCCCCUUAGUGCUGCAGCUAACGCAUUAAGCACUCCGCCUGGGGAGUACGGCCCGCAAGGCUG